UACGGAGGGUGCGAGCGUUGUCCGGAAUCACUGGGCGUAAAGGGCGCGUAGGUGGUCAGGUAAGGGCGUGGUGAAAGUCCGGGGCUCAACCCCGGAUCUGCCGUGCCGACUGCUUGACUGGAGCAUUGCAGAGGCAGAUGGAAUUCCGGGUGUAGCGGUGAAAUGCGUAGAUAUCCGUAGGAACAUCGAUGGCGAAGGCAGCCGCCUGGGCCACAACUGACACUGAGGUACGAAAGCGUGGGGAGCAAACAGG
rnacentral:rRNA from 1 species